GUCUUUAAGUGAUGCUGUGGUACUCAGGACACCUGAGAACCUUUGGUACCCCGAGGCAAAGUGCCAUAGAAUCACAGAAUCAUUAAGGUUGGAAAAGCCCUCCAAGAUCAUCUGGUCCAACCAUCCCCCUACCACCAAUGUCACCUACUAAACCAUGCCCUAAGCACCACGUUCAACCUUUUCCUGAACAUCCCCAGGGACAGUGAUGCCAUCAGCUCCCUGAGCAACCCAUUCCAAUACCUGACCACUCUUUCUGAGAAGAAAUGUCUCCUAAUUUCCAACCUGAAGCUUCACAGAGAUUUUUUUUUGGAGCAAACUGGGCAGACCACAGGGUGCUCAGAAACCAGGCCACUGCUUAUGGAGGGGAAAUGAGCAACCUUUAUGGAGGGAAUUAAUCAAGUGCUUCAAUCGCCUUAGCUGAGGGUUAAUAGUCUUGUGGUGACCGCCCUGAACAGCGUAUCAGGAGAGCUGGGUUUUAUUCCUGGUAUGCUUCAGUAAUGAAAAGGAAAUUGUGGUCAGAUGAGGCAUAGAAGCCCAUACUCCCAGCGACGUCAGAUAUGCAGCAAUUAGACACAAGUUAAACAAUAAAUCAAGUAACACUGAGCUUUUGGCUCUAGCAGAGCACAAUUAUGACUAUUUCUUUGUUUAUUUAGAAGAUGCUCAGCC